UACGAAGGGGGCGAGCGUUGUUCGGAAUCACUGGGCGUAAAGGGCGCGUAGGCGGCCUUCUAAGUCAGACGUGAAAUCCCCCGGCUUAACCUGGGAACUGCGUCUGAUACUGGGAGGCUUGAGUAUGGGAGAGGGAUGUAGAAUUCCAGGUGUAGCGGUGAAAUGCGUAGAUAUCUGGAGGAAUACCGGUGGCGAAGGCGGCAUCCUGGACCAUAACUGACGCUGAGGCGCGAAAGCUAGGGGAGCAAACGGG
rnacentral:rRNA from 1 species